GACGAACGCUGGCGGCGUGCUUAACACAUGCAAGUCGAACGGAAAGGCCCUGCUUGCAGGGUACUCGAGUGGCGAACGGGUGAGUAACACGUGGGUGAUCUGCCCCGCACUUCGGGAUAAGCCUGGGAAGCUGGGUCUAAUACCGGAUAGGAGCCAUUUUUAGAGCGAGGGUCGGACAGUUUUUUCGGUGUAGGAUGAGCUCGCGGCCUAUCAGCUUGUUGGUGGGGUAAUGGCCUACCAAGGCGGCGACGGGUAGCCGGCCUGUGAGGGUGGACGGCCACAUUGGGACUUAGAGACGGCCCAGGCUCCUACGGGUGGCAGCAGUGGGGAAUCUUGCUCAAUGGGCGCCAGCCUGAUGCAGCGACGCCGCGUGGGGGAUGACGGCCUUCGGGUUGUAAACUCCUUUCGCUAGGGACGAAGCUUUUUGUGACGGUACCUAGAUAAGAAGCACCGGCUAACUACGUG
rnacentral:rRNA from 1 species